rnacentral:lncRNA from 1 species
CCGGCCUGUUGACGUGGAGACGCGCGGGGCCUUUUCCCUUCUGUCUGCCUUUCCGGCCUGUUGACGUGGAGACGCGCGGGGCCUUUUCCCUUCUGUCUGCCUUUCCGGCCUGUUGACGUGGAGACGCGCGGGGCCUUUUCCCUUCUGUCUGCCUUUCCGGCCUGUUGACACGGAGACGCGCGGGGCCUUUUCCCUUCUGUCUUCCUUUCCGGCCUCUUGACGUAGUCUACUUUUACUCAGCUCCUGUCAUAGUGCUUGUAAGACCCCAGAAGUGACAAGAGGGCAGGAAACUUCUGGCUCACGCCAGCACGGUAACCACUGCUUCUGUCCGUCUCCUCGACAGUCCGCACACCACUGCACAAGGCAGCGGUUUAUCUUUUUAAUUCUCUGCUUCAUUGGCAUAGCCUUGACUGGCAAACAGGAGUUGAUUGCUAUCUGGUGGGAGAUACAGAGUGGAGGCAGGCAUGGGAAAUACAGUGCGUUAAAGCUGAUUUUCAUCACUGCAGCCAGGAAGAGCCUCCUGAAAGAUAAAUCAGACAGCAACACUUCUCAGCUCAAAACCUCAACAGUUGUAGCUCAUUUGGAGUAACACUCAGAGCCCUCCAGCCGCCUCACGUGCUCUCCCUUCCUCUCCCCUCUUACCUCUCUGCCCCUCCCUGCCCCUCCCUGCCCCAGGCACAGGGCAGGGAAGGCUCAGCUGAUCCCUGCACUGCAGAGUGGCCUGAGGGUGGGCUCCUGCUGCUUGAGAUGUCUCCUGAUGACCCCAUUUUAAACAGCAAGCCUCCCUCCACACAUCUUCCUCCCCCUCCAAUUUAUGUUUCUCCAGAGCACUUCUCAGAUCUUGAUAUGCUGUAAUCAGACUUUUGUUUGUUGUGUAUUAAGCUCUGCAAUAACAUGUCGUUGUCUCCUUUGUUCACUUCUGUAUUCCCAGCACCCAAAACAGGGCUUGGCGCAGUUGAUACUAAUGGGAUAUCUGCUGAGAGAUGGGUGGAUGGAUGAGGACAAAUUCCAAAAGGUAGGGCAGAAAGUUGGAAUAUGCCUGGGUUUCUGCUCCAUCUGUGCCAGCCUCCCAGCUUUGGGUUUUGUAUCUCCCUACUUCUUGUUAUACAAGAAAAAGAAAUUUCUGAUAUGUUUAGUCCAAUAUCUUCAUGUCUUCUAUUACUUACUACUAUUUGCAAUGGCAGACUUAUUAAAGUACACUUCUCUCUCAUUUCACAAGGAUUAUCUGUGCCCGUGUGCCUGGGAGGGGUGCAGCAGGUCAGAACAGCCCAGGAGUAGGGAGUGACCAGGCCAGGGCCCUCCCCACACUCAGUGCAGGACUGUGCCCUCAUUUC